rnacentral:rRNA from 11 species
GUCUAAACUCCAAUGCUCUUGAGAGCACCAGAUCCCAUCUGAACUCAGCAGAUAUACAGAGUCAAUCCUGGCUAGUACUUGAAAGAGUGGACUGCAAGGGAAUAUCAUAUGGUGCUGAAGGCU